UAAAUAGUUAUAGCGCCUGUGCAAAUGACUAUAUUAUUGUUGAAAAUUAAAAGUUAAUUAUGAGAACUUUUAUAGAGAAUAAUAUAGCUUUUGUAGACGAGGAGGAUAGUGAUCGAAUAGAUCGGCGGAUGCUAUCCCGGAUGUGGCUCAUUCGUUAGCUUAUUAAGUAAAACACUAGGGCAACUUAGUGGACAAAGUUAAUAAGAUCGCCGAAA
rfam:Staphylococcus capitis strain CR03 genome assembly, contig: BN1517_Contig_12